UUAUCCCCAGUUGCCAUCAGGUAAAGCUGGGAACGUCUGGGGAGACUGCCGGUGAUAACCGGAGGAAGGCGGGGAUGACGUCAAGUCCUCAUGGCCCUUACAUCCCGGGCUACACACGUGCUACAAUGGCAGGUACAGAGGGCUGCGAAGCCGCGAGGUGGAGCGAAUCCCAGAAAACCUGUCUCAGUCCGGAUUGAAGUCUGCAACUCGACUUCAUGAAGGCGGAAUCGCUAGUAACCGCGAAUCAGCAGGUCGCGGUGAAUACGUUCCCGGGCCUU
rnacentral:rRNA from 1 species